ACGAACGCUGGCGGCGUGCUUAACACAUGCAAGUGGGACGAAGGUAUGAACUUGAAGGCUUCGGCUGGACGGUACAUAUACUGAGUCGCGGACGGGUGAGUAAUGCGUGAGGACCUGUCCAUCAGAGGGGGAUAGCCCCGGGRAACCGGGAUUAAAACCCCAUAAGCCCAAGGGUGAAAGGGAGCAAUCCGCUGAUGGAGGGUCUCGCGUCCUAUCAGGUAGUUGGUGGGGUAAGGGCCUACCAAGCCGAAGACGGGUAGCCGGACUGAGAGGUUGACCGGCCACAUUGGAACUGAGAUACGGUCCAGACUCCUACGGGAGGCAGCAGUGGGGAAUAUUGGGCAAUGGGCGGAAGCCUGACCCAGCGACGCCGCGUGAGGGAAGACGGUCUUCGGAUUGUAAACCUCUGUUGCAGGGGAAGAAGGAAGUGACGGUACCCUGCGAGGAAGCCCCCGGCAAACUACGUGCCAGCCGCCGCGGUAAUACA
rnacentral:rRNA from 1 species